CGUCUCGUGUGCUUCUCGCGGCAUCAAUUUCAAAUUGUUUGUUUUAGCAGCCUGUUUCUUCUAAUGAUUUAUCAACGAAGCCGACAGCUUCCACGUGACCUCAGUUUAGACCGCUUUCCGACGGUGAAAACCUGAACAGGAAUGAACAAAACGAGCUACAAUGGAAGAGGGACUGAGCAGUUUCAAAGCUCUGAGGGCCAAGUUUCAGGAAGAGGCCCUCUUGGCUCAAUCCAAAACUAGUCGACCAGCUGUUGCAGAGAAACCCAAACACCUCCCAACCUCUGGAGCACACUGCAGCUCUGUGGUCACCAGUAUUAAUAUUGCUGUAGAAAACAAGACAUCAGUUCCCCGGGUCAUAUUCAGAGAUGGGCUGCGGGCAUCUGGAGGUAAGCGACCAAUAUCCUUUCCACCACAACCUCAGCAGACCUCCCCCUCAUCCCAGCCGACUAAUGAAGAUGCCACAACAAGGCCUUCCCUCAAAGACAGACACAUGGCUCUGGUGCUUCCUCUCCUGCAUGCGAAAGAGAAAAGGACAGAACCACCAGCCAAUAAGGAGCACAAACUGGAACCGGAGCCAGGGAAAGAAGUCCCACCACGAACAAAAAUCAAGAAGAAAGGUCUGCUGCUUCCUUUCAAGUCAAUUAAAGCUUCAAAGAUCAGUUCAGACAAUGGAAACGAGCCAACAUAUGUCGAUUUGACCACCAGACCCUCGAGUGCUCCUGGUGAGUUACCCUCCUUGGAAAAACGAACCACAGAAGAUGGGCUUUCCUUACUAAGUGACCAAUCAACCGCAGAGUUCCUCCUGUCCAGCCUCGAUAUCCCAAUCACCCCUCCUACUGCAGAGUCAAGUGUCGACUCCGAAAAUAGAGUUAUGAGCACCUUGGAGAAGGCCAAGAAGAAGUUUUCACGCAAGCAGAUGUUGAUCUCUGUUAAAACCAAGAGCUUGCGUUCCCCUGACUACGCCUCGAGAGACAAGGCGUUUCCUUUGCCGCCAGAUAACAUGGUGGAACCCGACCUACCCAAAUUACCUGUACCCUCUCCCGUCUACCUUCCACACCUGGCUUGCCUAUCGGCCCGGCCGUUCUUCAAAGUAGACCACUCAUCACGCAAGUCUGCUAGAAAUAAACAGUUUGGCAGAGAUAAUACUCUUGCCUAUUUCAAGACUGGUGAACCUCAUCCAAUCAUUGACCCUCAUAAGAAGCCUCUGCCUGACUCGAGGUCACUGGGUCCAUUGCCUCCAAAGCCCCCCAGACCUCCAUUUGUGGAUCUCAGCUGUUACCAUCGGCCCACAGUUAACGAGGUGUCACCAGGUCUGAGCCAAGCACCAAGCCAAGAGCCAAAGGCCGAGCAUCCAUCCGUUUCCCAGUCGGUGCUGGAUGCUCCAGAGUUUCCAGACUUUGAGAGUUCUGAGAUUGAAACAGCAGACGGUGAAGUUGUUGACAUUGCUGCGUUAGAACUGGAGGCCUUAGACUUAGUCAGCAUUGAACUUCCUGUGCCAGAUGACGGCGAGAUCACCGAUUACGAGGAUCCACAAACUCAAUUAUUAAUGUGCGAUCCUGUAGAGCCUGUUAUGAGCACCGCCAUCCAAGAUCUGAACCUCGGCAGUCAAAACAUAAUGCAUCUUGAUCCGGCCAGCUUCCCUGAACCAAUAAACCUCCCAGAGUUCCCAGAGUCUGUGGUAUCAGAGCAAUGGUCUCAGAGCGAGGAGGUGAUCGUGGAUCCUCUUUCGAGCACUAAAGCUGACGAGACUGAUCCGGGAGAUGCUGAGUCCAACUCUGCUCUGCAGGAAACGGAGAACAGUAACCACGCAGCGUUGAAUGAUGGGAGUAAACCACAUCCCGAUGUAUCUUUACAGGACAGUUACUAUGAAGCGUGCAAUAAUGUGUACGAGGAUGUCGAGAACAUCAACAAAUUCAUCUUCGGCCAGAACUCGCGCAAACGUAAAGCAGGACUGAAGAAUCCAUAUGCUAGCCAUGCUACGAAAGAGGAGGCGCCUCAUCAUAUAUGGCACCGGAAUCCUUGGUAUUUAUAUUUUUUCUUAAACAUACAAGUCUUGUGUUUUGUCUUAAAUUGGCCAGUUUUUGUGUUUUUUUUUCGUAUUUAUUUGUUUUGUUCUUACUGUGGUAGGGGUAGUUUACAUGGAGAACACUCUCAUCCGACCUUUAUUCAGGUCCACAGUAAGGAACGCAACAGCCCCAACACCGCUGAACAUAAAGAGCAGAAGAAGAGGGAAAAGCAGCGACUGGAGAAGGAGAAAAAGGAGCAAAAAGAGAGGGAGAAGAAGGAAAAUGAAAUGAAAAAGAAGUUCAAAGUGACCGGCGGAGAGGAGGCCAUGUACCACGCCAAGGUGACGGUGGCUAGCAAGGUUCGCAAGAAUGACCUGCCAGUUCAGAACGGGGACACUGUGGGCAUCAUUCGCACCACCAACUGCCCCAAAGGCAAAUGGUUAGCCCGAGACGCUUACCACAAAUAUGGUUAUAUAUCCGUGAUGAAUGUAGAACUAAAUAUCAAAGAGAUGCUGGAACUUGGCAAGAAGGCCCAAGCAGCUGGACGAGGAGGCAACCUGGAAGGAGACACGAUCAGCAUUGGGAGCAGAUCAUCUAGUCAUCUUGUACUAACAAGCAGUUUCACAGACGACAGUGAGGAGUGGGCUUGUGAAGACGAGACCCUCUCCCCCUUCAAUGAGAUGCAUUCCUUUCCCCAUCAGACUGUCCCACUGCCUGAGAUGUCACGUGGCUACGUGAGCGCCCAUCACACUCUGAGCGAUGCCAACCUGGAGGACCUACACACACAGAAUAGACAUGAGGCCCUGCAGAAACUAUCCAUCUUCUUUCAACACAGCAAAGAGGAAUUCAGAGACAUUCCUGAUGUCGGAGUAACCCCUACGAAUGCUGAGCCACCAAGUAAGUUCAGAGUUUAAUUUUUUCCAUGACCCCACUGUUGUCACCACUCGUCAUUCUCACUGAUAUUGGUGCGGCUAAGUGCAGGCUACUUGGAUAUCUCUUUGAGGGCUCCACAGCCAGACUUCUUGUGUGCUGUCGAGGAGCCUCUGUAUCCUGAACAGGAGGUUGACUUCACAGAGCUGGAACUCCUUCCUCCCCCUCUGCUAUAUGCUGACGCCUUCUGAGUACCACAUCGCCAAAUGAAGUAAUGUCUAAACCUCAAAAUCUACAUUUCACAACUGAAAUUUGUUACCAUGAUUCAUAUAUAUUUUUCCUGUACAGUGGACAAAAGAAAAGAUCCUGAAUAGAACCGCUGUGACUGUAUUAUAAUUCUUAUCACACGUUUUUGUUGAGUUUGUCGUGAAUAUUUCACAUUAAGUUGUUCAGUUCUCUUGGUACUGUUAUUAAUCCACAAUUUGAAUCCUUGCACUUCAUCCAGAGUGAUGACAUAAAGUAACUCUUCACUUGUACAUUUAAGGAUUUAUUUGUGAAUGUGUUCUCUGCAUUUUGGUUUCUUGUUCUGUUUGUUACAUCCAAUAAAAAUGUGGUGUUGAUUUAUA